rnacentral:tRNA from 1 species
GAGGGUAUAGCUUAGUGGUAGAGUGUGUACUUGGCAUGCAUGAGAUCCUGGGUUCAAUCCCCAGUACCUCCA